rnacentral:rRNA from 1 species
GACAGAGGGUGCAAACGUUGUUCGGAAUUACUGGGCGUAAAGCGCGUGUAGGUGGCAAGGCAAGUCGGGUGUGAAAGCCCAGGGCUCAACCCUGGAAGUGCAUUCGAUACUGCCUAGCUAGAGUCCCGGAGAGGAUGGUGGAACUCUCGGUGUAGAGGUGAAAUUCGUAGAUAUCGAGAAGAACACCGGUGGCGAAGGCGGCCAUCUGGACGGUGACUGACACUGAGACGCGAAAGCGUGGGGAGCAAACAGGGA